GAACCUGAAACCGUGUACGUACAAGCAGUGGGAGCACCCUUUGGGUGUGACUGCGUACCUUUUGUAUAAUGGGUCAGCGACUUAUAUUCUGUAGCAAGGUUAACCGAAUAGGGGAGCCGGAGGGAAACCGAGUCUUAACCGGGCGUUAAGUUGCAGGGUAUAGACCCGAAACCCGGUGAUCUAGCCAUGGGCAGGUUGAAGGUUGGGUAACACUAACUGGAGGACCGAACCGACUAAUGUUGAAAAAUUAGCGGAUGACCUGUGGCUGGGGGUGAAAGGCCAAUCAAACCGGGAGAUAGCUGGUUCUCCCCGAAAGCUAUUUAGGUAGCGCCUCGUGAAUUCAUCUCCGGGGGUAGAGCACUGUUUCGGCUAGGGGGCCAUCCCGGCUUACCAACCCGAUGCAAACUGCGAAUACCGGAGAAUGUUAUCACGGGAGACACACGGCGGGUGCUAACGUCCGUCGUGAAGAGGGAAACAACCCAGACCGCCAGCUAAGGUCCCAAAGUCAUGGUUAAGUGGGAAACGAUGUGGGAAGGCCCAGACAGCCAGGAUGUUGGCUUAGAAGCAGCCAUCAUUUAAAGAAAGCGUAAUAGCUCACUGGUCGAGUCGGCCUGCGCGGAAGAUGUAACGGGGCUAAACCAUG
rnacentral:rRNA from 1 species